rnacentral:rRNA from 1 species
GAUGAACGCUGGCGGCGUGCCUAAUACAUGCAAGUCGAGCGAACAGACGAUGAGCUUGCUCCUCUGAUGUUAGCGGCGGACGGGUGAGUAACACGUGGAUACCCUACCUAUAAGACUGGUAUAACUUCGGGAAACCGGAGCUAAUACCGGAUAACAUGUUGAACCGCAUGGUUCAACAGUGAAAGACGGUCUUUCUGGCACUUAUAGAUGGAUCCGCGCCGCAUUAGCUAGUUGUUCAGGUAACGGCUUACCAAGGCAACGAUGCGUAGCCGACCUGAGAGACGGAUCGGCCACACGGGAACUGAGCCACGGACAAGACUACUAAGGGACGCAGCAGUAGGGAAUGUUACGCAAUGGGCGAAAGCAUGACGGAGCAACGCCGCGUGAGUGACGAAGGCGUUCGGAGCGUAAAACUCUGUUACUAGGGAAGAACCAAUGUGUAAGUAACUAUGCACGUCUUGACGGUACCUAAUAAGAAAGCACCGGCUAACUACGUG